UUCAAUGCUAGGAAUCAAACCCAGGCCUCAAGCAUGCUAGGUAAGUACUUUCUACCUCUCAAUUAUGCAAUCAGCCACUUAGAUGACAUUUUAAUCCUGACUUCUAAAGGCUGACUUAGAAGAAGAUAUGUUUGCUGUUGUGUAAAAGAAGUUGGGGGGGGGGGAUGAAGAAAUCUUAGAAGUCAGCUCUGGAGAUGAGAGAGGAAGAUGGCUGACCUGGACCAGGAAGCUUGUUCCUGUGACAGAUAGGAUGGCCUCAUGGAGUCUUACUGUACCCCAGUACCCCUGGGCAUAAGUUCUCUUCAUAGAUUAUGUUCAAUCUUUUCUUUUGUUGUUUUGUUUUUUGAGACAGGGUUUCUCUGUAGCUUUGAAGCUUAUCCUAGAACUCGAUUUGUAGACCAGGCUGGCCUUGAACUCACAGAGUGAGUGCUGGGAUUAAAGUCAUGUGCCACCAACACCUGGCCGAUUCUUCAAGUUACAAAAGUUAACAUUUUGUGUAUGUGUACACGAAAACUCAAGUGUGAACGUGUUCUACUGAGCCUGCAUAGUGCACAAGAGGCUAAGGGCAACUUGGAGGAGUUGAUUCUCUCCACCUUCUGGUUUCUAAGAAUUGCACUCUGGUUGUCAAAGUUGGUGGCAGGCACAUUUACCAACGGAACCAUCUUUCCAGCCUUGCUUCAAUUUGCUAAUGUAUUUUCCUUGCUUGGCACUGGCUUAGUCAGGGUUUUAUUAGCUGUAAAAAGACACCAGGACCAUGGUAACUCUUACAAAGGAAAACAUUUGACUGGGGCUGGCUUACAGUUUCAGAGGUUUGGUCCAUUGUCAUCAUGGUAGGAGAUGGCGACAUGAGGGCAGAGCUGAGAAUUCUUCAUCUUGAUGUGCAGGCAGCAGGAGAUUGUGUGUCAUCCUGAGUGUAGCUUGAGCAGGUAAGACCUCAGUGACACACUUCCUCCAACAAUGCCACACCUACUCCAGCAAGGCCACACCUCCUCAUGUGCCACUGCUGAGUCUACGGGAGCCAUUCUUAUUCAAACCACCACAUGCAUGUAUAGAAACAGGCUUGGGGAAAUCAAAUAAACUGGUCAGGUCUAUGUUGGAAGCCACAGGGUUGGACUUCAAGGUCAUGUUUGGUUGACUCCAAAACCCACAACUUGCAAUGAUACUCAGUCCCUAGACUGGAGUACAAAGUAUCAUCUCAGAUGAGACAAUGGUGUGUGAUAGUUUGAAUCAAAUGACCCCCUCCCCUUCCCCAUCCAUCUAGAAGAUAUUGCCGGAGGUGGGCUUUGAGAGCUGAAGGACUUGUACCAUUUCUAGUUCACAACUCUACUUCCUGCUUUGGUUGAAGAUGUGACCGCUCAGUUUCCAGCUGCAGCUGCCAGGCCUCUGCUCCACCAUCAUGCACUCUAAUCCCACUGGAACCAUAAACUCAAAUACACUCUUUUGUCUACAGAUCAUCACGCUAAUGGUAUUUUAUCACAGCAUUAGAAAAGUAACUAAUUCCGAGUCAGAGGUGAGCUGAGGUUUUCAGUGUGAACCCUCAUUUGGAUAAGUUGAGUUUUCAUACUUUAUACUUUGGAACUUCAGGGCACACUGGGGCAAUGCCAGCUCUUCACGGAGCCUCCUCUACCACCACAUGCCCUUCCUAUUUUAAGAUGCAGUUUUAAUGAGAGUUAGGCUGACCUCUCCUCAGAAAGACACUGGCUCUGACCUGCCUGUUAUCUGAGGCCCCACUUUCACAACUCCACACUCUUGGUCUCCUCACCCGCAGCUAGCUGCUGGGAGUUCUCGCCUGGCUACUUUGCUCACGGUGCUUCAGAGGUGAUGAGCUGUGUGUGAGGCCCCUUCAGAUCCAGGGCCUGAGGCAGGAUGGCUGUGGCAGCAGGGUGUGUGUGUGGGGGGGUGGGGGAUGGUUCUGCAACAGUGCCUGUGGGCAGAGAUGAGAGACUUCUGGAGGGUUUAGGAUUUUUCUCAAAGAAGGAAGUGCACAUAUGGGAACCCGACCAGCAUGUGAACUUACUUUGGGCUGCACCAGAAGGGCAGGGUGAGCCUGUGCUGAUUUGGAUGGGUUCAAUUUCCAGAUUGUUUUCUUCCUGUUGCUAAUUCGUAUACUCAGGCUUGAUAAUAGCACACUGAGCCCAGCUGAGAAUUUAAAUCUGAAGUGGCAGGAUAUCCACUGGGUUAGAACAGAGCUGGACCUUCCUACUUGGAUAGAUGUAUGAUCCAUUCUCCCCCCUGUACUAGAAAACUGAAGGACCCAAUUGAAGCCUUAGUUGGAAGAUAAUUCCAUGACGGAGGACUCAUGCUUGCUGUCCUCUUGUGUCUUGCUUGCUUUUGCAGUAAAAGUCAAGCAAAUUCCUCCUGGUGGUGGACGACACUUAAAAGCAUUAGGAAUAUAUAUGAACUCCAAGCAGUUGCUUCCAGGAGUUCCCAGACUGUGUCUUCUUCUGGAUAAGAAGCCUGCACCUACAAGGAAGUAUUUGGAGUUAUCCAAGGCCACUCAUGACAUGGAGGGGCAAAUGGAUAUGUCUUAACUUUUAGGCCUCAGAGGAGAGGUGAUGGUCCCAGCCGGUAUUAUAAAUAGUUAGCCUCCCAUCUCCAAAGAGAAGCAAUGCACAGCUAUCUCAAGUUGCGAGUUAACAGAGUUCUCAGGAAAGCAAAGUUUCCAGUUGCCUUUUUGAUAAACACAUUCUUGGAAAGGGCAGCCUGCUACCUACGCAGGGACCCUGGGGAAGAUAUUUUGAGCAGUCUGGGGCUGUCUGUCUGCACUCUUUGUUCUCACAGUUUGAAGUCCUCUCCAGUUAAAUUAUCAGGAACGAGGAGUUAGCAUCUAACUGGCAGUUUUGAUCAAUAUCUGUCAAUCGGGUCAGGUGGGGCACCAGAUCCUAGGAUAUAAAAACAUUCCAAGGCCUUCUCUCUACCCUCCUCUCUGAUCACCAGGGUGUGAAAAGUUCAGGGAGAUGUCUGCCAGUGCCACUGACCCGGAUUUAUAUUGUCACCUUUUACUAGCCCUUCUAUCUGCACUGUUCUGUCUCCCGAACCCAGCACACACAGUCGUACCUGCUACUGGAGUGAAGGACUCUCAAUAUAUAGUUCAAAUAAACAGUAUGGCCACAGUUGCACACCCUCACGGGCAUUUUUGGUCUCAAAGACACUUCAUCUGCAUUGUCAGCGCUAUUCUCUUUCUUGAUUUUACUUCCAUCCCCGAAGUCCUAGGCCAUUGGAUCACGGGUGACACAAGACUUCAGAUUUUAGUUUUAGUAGCAAAUGAAUCUCCUGCGACUCAUUUAUAUAUUUGUUCUCCCGGUAUUUCUUAAAUCCUCUAAAUAUUUCUGAGCUGCUUUUUACCACUGUUGUGUCAAAUCCCUUGACUGGUUCUAGAGUUACUGGAUGGGAAGGACCAUCCAUCCAGAUAGUGUAUUGUGUCUGCUGACUCUGGCACCUUCCUCAGUUUUUCCCUCUGUGUUAUUUAGUUGAGCCAUAUGAAACUGCCAUCAUGUGAUAUUACAAGCAGCUUCUUACAUGCUCCACUUACCGCCCAAAUGCUCUAUUACUUUUCUAUUGCUGGGAAGAGUUACCGUGACUAAGGCAACUAAUAAAAGAAAAUGUUUAUUGGGGCUCACAGUUGCAGAGGGUUAGAGUCCAGGACUACCAUGGUAAGGAGCAUGGAAGCAUGGUACUGGAGCGGUAACUAAGAGCUUACGUAUUGAGUAUCAGUCACAAGACUGAGAAAGAUAAUUGGGAAUGGCAUGGGCUUUUGAAACCUCUAAGCCCACUUCCAGUGACUCGUCUCCUCCAACAAGACCUCACCUCCUAAUCCUUCCCAAAGAGUUCCACCAACGCGGGACCAAGUGUUCAAAUAAAAGAGUCUACAUGGGACAUCCUCAUUUAAACCACCGUAACUAUCUCUGGAGUUCCCUUUCACAUAGGUGCACACACCGCCCACAACCCAAGCUGUUUUCCUGAGGCUCCUGUAUGCCCACCUCUCCCCCUCAGCCCAGACAUAAACAGUCUGAAAUCUAAACAGUAUUUUCAUGGCCCAUUUUGACAGCAGAGAUCUCAGUGCAAAUUACCCAGUUUCUCCAUUUUGUGGCUUUGAUAUAUUAACUGGAAACACCCAACAUUCAGAUAAACAUACAGAAAAAUCAGAGAUGAAACUGUAAACUGAGUAAAUAAUUCAUCUCUGCUAUUGUAAAUAUUUAGUAAAAAAAUGCUUGUUUUACAUGGAAAGAUAAGGAGCCUUGUGUGGAAAUCCGUAUCAUAAGAAUUCAUGGAAGACAACUGCCUGGAGCAGGUUAGUAAGGAUCCCAAAAGGUCAUGUCAAAGGCUGAAGCAGCUGUCAAGUCCAGAGAGACUGGAGCAUGUGUUCCUGUGUGCCAGCCUGGCCAAUGGCACUGCUCCCAGAGGAUCUGGCUGGCUCUCAUCCCAGGAGCCACUUUUCCUGUCAAUUAUAUGCUCUUGACAAGUCUGAAAUGGAAACAGAGGGCAGACAUGGUCACAGUAGAAGUCCUUCCUGAGGUAUCCAGGAGAAUGGUCUGGAGAGCAGGAGGAGGCCUGAUUUGUAUGCUCUACAGCUUCACGUGACACUAGCUUGGAGACCUAGAGUUAGUUAGUUUGCCUCCAGAUUCUUUUUUUAUGAAUUUUUAUUUAAAUUAAAAAUAAUCUUAUUUUACAUAUCAAUCCCAGUUCCCUCUCCCUUCCAUCCUCCCAUGCUCCCCACCAACCCCCAUCCCACCCUGUAUCCACUCCCCAGGGAGGAUAAGGCCUCCCAUGGGGGAUCAUCCAAGUCUGUCACAUCAUUUGGGGCAGGACCUAGGCCCUCCCCCAUGUAUCUAGGCAGAGAGAGUAACUCUCCAUGGGGAAUGGGCUCCCAAAGUUCAUUUGUGCAGUAGGGAUAAAUACUGGUUCCACUGCUAGAGGCCCCAUAGACUUCCCAGGACGCCUCCAGAUUCUUUACCUGACAUUAAAAGAGUACAAGUGUUACAGGCUUCUACAACAUGACAUGAGGCCUUUCUAGAAGUGCUUGCAACAGUGUCUGGCAUACAGACACUACAGGACAAGAGAGCCACACCACCAACUUGGUUCUUGUGUUCAUGGAUAAUAAACAUCUGGGAAGUAGAUUCUCACCUUGAACAUAUCACUUGUGUCUCGCUUUGUCUGCUAAUCCCUGCAUUGGGGUUUCUCACCAGCAGAUACAACAAGAAACUGAGCCAGUCUCCUGGGAAGUGACGACUACUUGCAUGUAGCUGAGUGAUAAGGACUUGUUGUAGAAUGAGGACCUUCAUCUUGAGUGUGGAUUUAACCAGUUGGACAACAAAAGAGUCAGCAAGUGGUGAGUGGUGGAUUGUGAGAACCAAGGACCUGCCUUUCUUCCUGCUCUCCCUUCUGAGCAUUGUCACCAAGCAGUGUGUUCAUUUACUUGCUAUCUUGUCUCCUUUGCUGAUGUUUCAUGUGUCAACAUCUCCUUGUUAACAAGAUUCUUGUGAUCUUGGCUCACAUUUUUACAACCUACUUGGAGUCUCUGAAAUCACAGUGCCAGAGUUGGGAUCCCUUAGCACCUGAUGACCUCAUCAGCAGAGCUAAUAAGCCUAAGUUCAGGCAGUGCCAAGCCCCAUCAAGGAUGUGCAGGAAAACCUACCAUGCCCUGCAUGAAAUAAGACACCAGAACUCCGAGACAUAAUUUUUAUGUGUGUUAACAUACAGUAAAAACCAGUGAUCCUUCUAUACCUCCGGUUUCUUUUUGUUUUCGGCUACUUUUUGUUUUCCAUGCUUUGACACAUGAAAAAUUGAUACAAUGGGGCUGGAGAGAUAGCUCAGUGGUUAAGAGAAUGCACUGCUUUUUCCAGAGGUCAGGAGUUCGGUUGUCACUGCAUAUAUGGGACAAAUAACAACUGCCUGGACCUGCAGCUCUGGGAAAUUCGAGGCCUCCAUCUCUGAGCACCGGCACAUGUGUGCUCAUACCCACACAGAAACACACAGGCAUGUGCAGGUUUUAAAGACUAAUAAGAUAAAUCUAAAGCAAUCAAUAUUGUGUAACCUGGUGGGAAGUGACAUGGGUUUAUCCUCAAGUAGGCCUGGCAUCUGGCUUCCACCCCAUUUCAUAUCAGAUGUGAGCAUUUGUAGAAUGCCUUAACUGUAGGAGUUUUCAUUUACUAAUGGGUAGAUGGAAAGAGUGAUAAUUUACUGAAUUUUUUUUAGAGAAUUAAAUGUUACAAUUGUGACAAGUCACCGCUUCCAUCUUACUGAGGGAGAGUAUCCCUCCUGGUUCAGGUAGGAACGGUUUCUAACACUCUGUUUUGGUGGCCAUGGCUCUACUCACUCUUCCAGGCCCUUGGUUUACACAUGGACGCCAAUAAUUACUAGGAACUCUGAUAAUAUUUGAUGCCGUGCAUUUUUAGAAAAACAAGCUGAACACAGCAAAUGAUGUAACAAAAAUUGUUGUGAAGCAAUUAUGUUCAGAGUCUUAAGAGUUGGAGAACACUGGAGGUAGGCUGUAUGAUGGUCUAGCCAGAGAAGUGGUGCAUUGAGGGAGACGCAUGGAUAAGAGGUGGUGAGCAAUUAGUGGUGUGCCCGUAAUAACGAUGAACACAUCAGGCAUUGUUCUGAAGCACCGAGAGGUGGUCAGGAUGCAUUUUGUUAACAGAGAAGCACAUCAACCAACACUCUUCACUACCUACGAGUACUUCAGUUAGUUUCAUACCAUAUUCCAGUUUACCUACCUCUCUGCAUCCAUACUAACUUCCUGUUUGCCUUGGUGUACUUACAUUUUAAAGCAUUGCUACACCUAGCCUGUUAUGCGCCAUGGGCAAGGAGAGAGACACUUAUUGGUUCACAUAAACAGGUCACGAUGGAUCGGGGCUGCAGGACAAGGACUUUGGAGCCUCCUUACUCCUGAAAGCCCAAGCCAGGGCAGAAGCAGGGUUUAUAAGCACAAAAAUCACAAACAAUUGGUGUUACGAUAAGUCUUUCCACCAAAAGCCACCCGAGCCCUACCGCCACGUGGGUGGUUUCCGCCAGCCACCUGAUUUCUGCCUGCCGAGUUAGGGCCCCAGAUAAUACACAGAGACUUAUAUUAGGUACAAAUGCUGCUUGGCCAAUGACUAGGAUUUCUCAUCUGUUAGCUCAGUCUUAAUUAUCAUAAAUCUGUAUAUUUUAUAAGACUUAUCUUAUUUAGGCUGCCUUCCAUUGGCAUCCUCAUGCCGGGAUCACAUGGUGACUCUGGAGGAAGGGAGAAGGGGCCCACUUCCUUCCUG
ensembl:lncRNA